AUAUGCUCACCUCAGCUAUAUGUGUCCUAAAAUUGGAACAACACAGAAAAAAAUUAACAGAGCCAUGAAUAGGGAUGACAUGUAAAUUUGUAAAGCAUUUCAUGCUCUU
rnacentral:snRNA from 1 species